rnacentral:rRNA from 1 species
GGAAAGGUGAAAAGAACCCCGAACAGGGGAGUGAAAUAGAACCUGAAACCAUACGCUUACAACCGGUCGGAGCAGCUUCGUGCUGUGACGGCGUGCCUAUUGAAUAAUGAGCCUACGAGUUACUAAUCACUGGCGAGGUUAAGUGCACGGAUGCACGGAGCCGAAGCGAAAGCGAGUCUUAAUAGGGCGUUUAGUCAGUGGUUGUAGACGCGAAACCUUGCGAUCUACCCUUGAGCAGGUUGAAGGUUGGGUAAAACCAACUGGAGGACCGAACGAAUAAGCGUUGAAAAGCUUCUCGAUGACUUGAGGGUAGGGGUGAAAGGCUAAUCAAGCUGGGAAAUAGCUCGUACUCCCCGAAAUGCCUUUAGGGGCAGCGUUGUAAUAAAGAGUCUACUGGAGGUAGAGCUACUGAUUGGAUGCGGGGGCUUCACCGCCUACCAAAUCCUGACAAACUCCGAAUGCCAGUAGUAUGAUUUACAGCAGUGAGUGACUGGGUGCUAAUGUCCAGUCGCAAAAGAGGAACAACUCAGACCAGCAACUAAGGUCCCGAAGAAUAUGCUAAGUUGAUCUAACGAUGUUUUGUUGCAGAGACAGCUAGGAUGUUAGCUUGGAAGCAGCUAUUCAUUCAAAGAGUGCGUAACAGCUCACUAGUCGAGCGACAGAGCGUGGAUAAUAAACGGGCAUCAAGCAUAUCACCGAAGUUCUGGGCGCGAGAGCGCGGUAGGGGAGCAUUCCAUUCAGCGUCGAAGCAGUUUCGUGAGGAAUUGUGGAGCGUAUGGAAAAGCAAAUGUAGGCAUGAGUAACGAUAAUGCGGGAGAGUAACCCGCACACCGCAAGACCAAGGUUUCCUGAUCAACGCUAAUCGGAUCAGGGUUAGUCGGGUCCUAAGGGUAAGCCGAACGGCGAUCUCGAUGGAUAAUCGGUUAAUAUUCCGAUACUAACAUAUACCUCGAUGGAGAGACGAAGGAACGUAAGUGCCGCCACCUGACGGAAUAGGUGGUUAAAGGGCGUAGGUAUAGGGGCAGAUUAAGAGUUAGUCCUUGCUGAAACCUGACAGUACAGAGAGCCUACGGGCAAUUUGAUAGAGCACCCAAGUCGACUUCCGAGAAAAUCUUCUAAGUUAUAGUAUAUGUUACCCGUACCGUAAACCGACACAGGUGGUCGAGGAGAGUAUCCUAAGGUGCUCGAGUGAAUCACGGUUAAGGAACUAGGCAAAUUAACCCCGUAACUUCGGGAAAAGGGGUCCCUAUGAAAGUAGGGCGCAGCGAAGAGGUCCAGGCGACUGUUUAUCAAAAACACAGGGCUCUGCAAAUUCGAAAGAAGACGUAUAGGGCCUGACACCUGCCCGGUGCUGGAAGGUUAAGAGGGGAUGUCAUCGCAAGAGAAGCAUUGAAUCGAAGCCCCAGUAAACGGCGGCCGUAACUAUAACGGUCCUAAGGUAGCGAAAUUCCUUGUCGGGUAAGUUCCGACCUGCACGAAUGGUGUAAUGAUCUGGACACUGUCUCAACCGUGAGCUCGGUGAAAUUGUAGUAUCGGUGAAGAUGCCGAUUACCCGCGAUGGGACGAAAAGACCCCGUGAACCUUUACUAUAGCUUAACAUUGAAUUUGGGUAAUUGAUGUGUAGGAUAGGCCGGAGGCUUUGAAGCAGGUACGCCAGUAUUUGUGGAGCCGCUGUUGAAAUACGGCCCUUUGAUUAUUUGAGUUCUAACCCGUUGUUGCGGGGACACUGUUUGGUGGGUAGUUUGACUGGGGUGGUCGCCUCCAAAAG